rnacentral:rRNA from 1 species
AUACGGAGGGUGCAAGCGUUACUCGGAAUCACUGGGCGUAAAGCGCGCGCAGGCGGCUUGAUAAGUUGGAUGUGAAAGCCUACGGCUCAACCGUAGAACUGCAUCCAAAACUGUCAGGCUAGAGUGUGGGAGAGGAAGAUGGAAUUAGUUAUGUAGGGGUAAAAUCCGUAGAGAUAACUAGGAAUACCAAAAGCGAAGGCAAUCUUCUGGAACACUACUGACGCUGAGGCGCGAAGGCGUGGGGAGCAAACAGGAUUAGAAACCCUAGUAGUCC